GUGAGGAAUAUUGGUCAAUGGGCGAGAGCCUGAACCAGCCAAGUAGCGUGAGGGAUGACUGCCCUAUGGGUUGUAAACCUCUUUUGCAGGGGGGUAAAGUGGUUCACGUGUGGACCAUUGCAAGUACCCUGCGAAUAAGGAUCGGCUAACUCCGUGCCAGCAGCCGCGGUAAUACGGAGGAUCCGAGCGUUAUCCGGAUUUAUUGGGUUUAAAGGGAGCGUAGGCGGGGGUUUAAGUCAGCUGUGAAAUGCCGUGGCCCAACCAUGGAACUGCAGUUGAAACUGGACCUCUUGAGAGUACAUAAGGAAGGCGGAAUUCGUGGUGUAGCGGUGAAAUGCAUAGAUAUCACGAAGAACUCCGAUUGCGAAGGCAGCUUUCCGGGGUACAUCUGACGCUGAAGCUCGAAAGUGCGGGAAUCAAACAGGAUUAGAUACCCUUGUAGUCC
rnacentral:rRNA from 1 species